GAUGAACGCUGGCGGUGUGCCUAAUACAUGCAAGUCGAGCGAACAGACGAGGAGCUUGCUCCUCUGACGUUAGCGGCGGACGGGUGAGUAACACGUGGAUAACCUACCUAUAAGACUGGGAUAACUUCGGGAAACCGGAGCUAAUACCGGAUAAUAUAUUGAACCGCAUGGUUCAAUAGUGAAAGACGGUUUUGCUGUCACUUAUAGAUGGAUCCGCGCCGCAUUAGCUAGUUGGUAAGGUAACGGCUUACCAAGGCAACGAUGCGUAGCCGACCUGAGAGGGUGAUCGGCCACACUGGAACUGAGACACGGUCCAGACUCCUACGGGAGGCAGCAGUAGGGAAUCUUCCGCAAUGGGCGAAAGCCUGACGGAGCAACGCCGCGUGAGUGAUGAAGGUCUUCGGAUCGUAAAACUCUGUUAUUAGGGAAGAACAAAUGUGUAAGUAACUAUGCACGUCUUGACGGUACCUAAUCAGAAAGCCACGGCUAACUACUUG
rnacentral:rRNA from 1 species